rnacentral:rRNA from 1 species
UACGGAGGGUGCAAGCGUUGUCCGGAUUUAUUGGGUUUAAAGGGUGCGUAGGCGGCCUUUUAAGUCAGUGGUGAAAGCCCGCGGCUCAACCGCGGAACUGCCAUUGAUACUGGAAGGCUUGAGUACAGACGAGGUGGGCGGAAUUGAAGAUGUAGCGGUGAAAUGCUUAGAUAUCUUCAAGAACACCGAUUGCGUAGGCAGCUUACUAGGCUGUAACUGACGCUGAGGCACGAAAGCGUGGGGAGCGAACAGG